GAUGAACGCUAGCGGGAGGCCUAACACAUGCAAGCCGAGCGGUAUUGUUUCUUCGGAAAUGAGAGAGCGGCGUACGGGUGCGGAACACGUGUGCAACCUGCCUUUAUCUGGGGGAUAGCCUUUCGAAAGGAAGAUUAAUACUCCAUAACAUAUUGAACGGCAUCGUUUAAUAUUGAAAGCUCCGGCGGAUAGAGAUGGGCACGCGCAAGAUUAGCUAGUUGGUGAGGUAACGGCUCACCAAGGCGAUGAUCUUUAGGGGGCCUGAGAGGGUGAUCCCCCACACUGGUACUGAGACACGGACCAGACUCCUACGGGAGGCAGCAGUGAGGAAUAUUGGUCAAUGGGUGCAAGCCUGAACCAGCCAUCCCGCGUGAAGGACGACUGCCCUAUGGGUUGUAAACUUCUUUUGUAUAGGGAUAAACCUACCCUCGUGAGGGUAGCUGAAGGUACUAUACGAAUAAGCACCGGCUAACUCCGUGCCAGCAGCCGCCGUAAAAC
rnacentral:rRNA from 1 species